CAGCCAGACUCCUACGGGAGGCAGCAGUGGGGAAUAUUGGGCAAUGGACGCAAGUCUGACCCAGCAACGCCGCGUGAAGGAAGAAGGCUUUCGGGUUGUAAACUUCUUUUAAGGGGGAAGAGCAGAAGACGGUACCCCUUGAAUAAGCCACGGCUAACUACGUGCCGGCAGCCGCGGUAAUACGUAGGUGGCAAGCGUUGUCCGGAUUUACUGGGUGUAAAGGGCGUGUAGCCGGGUUGACAAGUCAGAUGUGAAAUCCUGCGGCUUAACCGCAGAACUGCAUUUGAAACUGUUGAUCUUGAGUACUGGAGAGGCAGACGGAAUUCCUAGUGUAGCGGUGAAAUGCGUAGAUAUCAGGAGGAACACCGGCGGCGAAGGCGGCCUGCUGGACCGUGACUGACGUUGAGGCUCGAGAGCGUGGGGAGCAAACAGGAUUAGAUACCCGGGUA
rnacentral:rRNA from 1 species